UGCUGGUCCUCUCGCAAUGAUACACCGUGAACCUGGUCAGGCCCGGAAGGGAGCAGCCACAGCGGUCGACUCAUGUGCCGGGAUGUGGCUGGUGGAG
rnacentral:SRP_RNA from 1 species